CGACCACAUUAGGCUGAAGUAUCGGCUCCCGUACGAUCACCGCAGUUAAGCAACGUUGAGCCUGGUUAAUACCUUGAUGGACAACCGCUUGGGAACAGCAGGUGAUGUAAG